AUUGAACGCUGGCGGCAGGCUUAACACAUGCAAGUCGAGCGAGUGGCGGACGGGUGAGUAAUGUCUGGGAAACUGCCUGAUGGAGGGGGAUAACUACUGGAAACGGUAGCUAAUCCCGCAUACCAUCGGAUGUGCCCAGAUGGGAUUAGCUAGUAGGUGGGGUAAUGGCUCACCUAGGCGACGAUCCCUAGCUGGUCUGAGAGGAUGACCAGCCACACUGGAACUGAGACACGGUCCAGACUCCUACGGGAGGCAGCAGUGGGGAAUAUUGCACAAUGGGCGCAAGCCUGAUGCAGCCAUGCCGCGUGUAUGAAGAAGGCCUUCGGGUUGUAAAGCACUUUCAGCGAGGAGGCGUUACUCGCAGAAGAAGCACCGGCUAACUCCGUGCCAGCAGCCGCGGUAAUUC
rnacentral:rRNA from 1 species